rnacentral:tRNA from 1 species
GCCCUCGUAGCUCAUCUGGAUAGAGCGACGGCCUCCUAAGCCGUAGGCAGCAGGUUCGAGUCCUGCCGAGGGCA